rnacentral:misc_RNA from 1 species
GAUGAAGAACGUAGCGAAAUGCGAUAAGUAAUGUGAAUUGCAGAAUUCAGUGAAUCAUCGAAUCUUUGAACGCACCUUGCGCUCCUUGGUAUUCCUCGGAGCAUGCCUGUUUGAGUAUCAUGAAACUCUCAAAGAAAAUCUUUUGUUAAUUCAAUUGGUUUGCUUUGGACUUGGAGGUUUUUUUUGCAGAUUAAUUUCUGCUCCUCUUAAAUAUAUUAGCUUGAUCUCAGUAUAUGCUCGGUUCCACUCGGCGUGAUAAGUAUCACUCGCUGAGGACACUGGUAAAAAAGGUGGCCGGGAAAUACAGAUGAACCGCUUCAAACAGUCCAUUGACUUGGACAAUAUAAGUUUUAAGAUCUGAUCUCAAAUCAGGUAGGACUACCCGCUGAACUUAAGCAUAUCAAAAGCGGAGGA